rnacentral:rRNA from 1 species
CCUACGGGAGGCAGCAGUGGGGAAUAUUGGGCAAUGGGCGAAAGCCUGACCCAGCGACGCCGCGUGAGGGACGAAGGCCUUCGGGUUGUAAACCUCUUUCAGCAGGGAAGAAGCGAAAGUGACGGUACCUGCAGAAGAAGCACCGGCUAACUACGUGCCAGCAGCCGCGGUAAUACGUAGGGUGCAAGCGUUGUCCGGAAUUAUUGGGCGUAAAGAGCUCGUAGGUGGUUUGCCACGUCGGAUGUGAAAACCUGAGGCUUAACCUCAGGCCUGCAUUCGAUACGGGCAGACUAGAGUGUGGUAGGGGAGACUGGAAUUCCUGGUGUAGCGGUGAAAUGCGCAGAUAUCAGGAGGAACACCGGUGGCGAAGGCGGGUCUCUGGGCCAUAACUGACACUGAGGAGCGAAAGCGUGGGGAGCAAACAGGAUUAGAUACCCUGGUAGUCCACGCCGUAAACGGUGGGCACUAGAUGUGGGGACCUUCCACGGUCUCUGCGUCGCNGCUACGCAUAGUGCCCGCCGUCGGGUAGGUACGGCCGGCCGACGACGUAAACCUACAACUAGAAGUAGACGGCGUGAGACGCGCCGACGGACGACGACGAGGGAGGAGG